ACACCAGUCCCAUUUACUGAGGAUUUCCAUUAAGCAAACAGAUGGGCGGAUGGUUUAUUACCAAUUUCUCCACUAAUGUGAAGCUUGAAUGUAAUAUUCCUGGAAGGACAAAAGUCAUACACUUCAUGCUUGUACAAAGAGUGGUAUGGCCCUGCCUCAUCUCCCCUUCCUGCAUGAACACUUCUUCUCAUGUAAACAAGGAACUAUAUCUGAUUCUUCAGCUAUUUCAAAGCACCCAGCAACUCUCAGGAUCCUUGGUUGGCACUCGCUCAACAGAUAUUUGUGCAAUGAAUGACUGUCUGCAACCAUCAGACAUCAAUGUCUUCAAGAAUCUACAAAAUAGAACUACUACUCACUUCUUUUGUCUACUGCUGGCAAAACGAAGAGUGCCAAACAGUCCCAGAAUAAACGAAUUACGUUCCAAGUGAUGAAGAAGCACAAAGCAAAGAGAGUAUGAGACAGAUGAUCACACCAUGUGCUGACUUGCCCAGAAGCCUUCAAGGCCUUUAAUUAAACAGUCUAACCAUGGGAGGCAAAAGAUGGAAUGGAAUGUGUUCCUAAUUAAUGCUUUAACCUCAUUAUGCUCCCAGGCCAGGAAAUAUAAUAACUACGUAAGAAUUUGGAAAUUGUUUCCACCGAGAUCAUGGCAGGGUUUUUUUUUUUGAUGAAUUUUAGUCACUGUUUCAAAGACACCUAUGCUAUUAGCUGAACUGAUUUCAUAAACCAAAUAUAGCAGGACUUGAAGAGGGCGGUUUGGAUUAGAGGGAAAACAUCACCAUACUCAAAUCUCUUUUUCCCCAGUUUUUGCACAAUGUAGUUGUGGUAUUCUCCUUGGUUUGGUUCUAAAUGUAUUUAUUGAGGAAGGAAUGCUUAUGUCUAAAUCAACCUUGAAAGUACUUUAAACUGUUCAAGAAAUAGAGUAAACAUGGUUUCAGUAUUGAUCCCUCCCAAGAAGUGCACAAUAGUAAAUUAUUUUUCCCUGGAGUAGGGAUGGAUUAUUGUUUCUUUGGUUGGGUAUCAGAGGAAGUAAUUUACUUAUGGCUAAGGGUCUUAUGUCAUGAAAAUCAUUUUUGUUGUUUUUUUUUUCCUUUUAAUUCCUUGUAAAUACAAGGUUAAAUUUACAUUAAAGGAAAUAUGACCUUGUGUCACAUUCUCCAUUCACAUGCUCCCAAUUUUCUUGCUUUCAGGAAUUAUAGUGCUCUUCUAAAAAAAUAAAUAAAUAAUUCCAUAAAUAUAACUGUGAGCAAUUCAAAGAUUAGCACAAAUCAUUUUUCCUAGUUAAACUAUUACUUCUAUAAUAUUUAAAAGAAAAAUGUAUUAUGAAUUUAAUUUUUUUAUUUAAAAGAAAAUCUCUGAUUUUACUGAUUUAUCUCUAAUUAAGUUAUUUGAAUGACUCGGACUAUUUUGUUCUUUCUUCCCCUACUCUUGAAAAAUUCAUAUUGAAUUUUGUUUAUAAAUUCACAGAAGUCUUUUUUGGUUUUUUUUGGUCUUGCUCUAUAAUGUUCAGAAAAUGUUGAUUAAAAAAAAAUAGGUAACUAAAAUUAGCCAGUAAUAUUUUUUGUAGUAGGUCUACACAAGGCUGGUGUAUCAGUUUUGAUUCUAUUUCGAGGCUUUUGUUUAUGAAGUAAUGAAUGAUAAACUAAGAAAUAUUUUCUAUGUUCAUAGGUCUAUUCAUCGUAGUUAAUGCAGAAAUGUAGCUCCUAAAUCACAUGUAAUAUUUUUGGAGUAAAGAAAUCCAACAAAUAAUAUCUUUUGAGUAGAUAUUAUAUAAAGACACUAGUUUGAGUUUUGCAGGGAACAUGAAGAGAAUCAAUCUGAGCUCAGGGUUUUACAGUUUUUACCAGAGGUGUGGUAAUCACAUUUUAAGACACCUCUCAAUGAACUUUUCUGAUUUCCAACUUUGUAUAUUCCCUUCCAACAUAGACCCAACGCUGAACAAUAGAAUAUUGUGAAAAUGAUUUGUGACUUUCUUGGCUAGUUCAAAAAGUCAUCUGCCUUGCCCUUCACUCGCUCUGAGGAAAGCCAGCUGCCUGUCAAGCACUAUAAGAGAUCUGAGAUUUUAUCCUAUUUACAAACAAGUUACCUUGUCACAGUUUCAUGGAUAGUAGUAGAAGACAUGAGACUAUUGGGUCAGUUAAAGGGCAGUUGAUUGCUCAAAACAAUAGAAAUAACCAGAACAUAAAAUAAGUGCCAAUUCUUUGAGACCAAGUUCCCACAGGUCAGUGCACAGUUGGCCAAAGGAUGACUUCACAUGCAGUGGGUGGUGUUAAAAGAAGUGAGCUUCAAGUUUAGGGAGUCCAAUUUUUUAUAAUGGGCUAUAAGCUUGCCUGAUCUUUUCUUUAAGAAUACAUUAUCUUUAUCAUAUAAUAGGUGAAAGAAAUAAACCUUGCCCUUUGCUCUGGGGUGUGUGUGUGUGGGGGGGGGAAACUAUCUCUAUCUACCAAGGUUAUUUGCUAUGCAAACAUCCUUUUAAACAUUACUUAGAACAAAGGAAGUUUUCAGUUGCUCUACUUACAAGAUCUGAAAGAUGGGGAUGUGGGGGGUUUGUCUUCCAACAUUUCAAACCCAUGAGAGCAGGCCUGGAAAAAGAUGGAUGAGGUGAUGAUCUGAAGACUUAUUCCAGCAACCAUUAAAGGAUGGAGCCACCAUGAAAGUGGUACUCCUGCCCCCCAAAAAACCUUCAGAUGGUUGCUUUCCUAGCUGGAUCUAACCUUACAAAGGACCUGAAUCUAGAGUGGCCCAGGAAAUUAUAAGAGAUAAUGCCAUUAUUUGGUACUGUUAAGUUUUGAGGUGAUUUGUUACACAGUAAUAUAUAACACAAACUUUUGUGCUUGCAAGUGGGGUACUAUCACAACCAAAUUUCAAAAUAUAUCAGAGACUUUGGGAAUAACAUGUAGAGAGAAGCUGCAGAGGACUUUGGAGAAAACAUAAGAGACAUUCAAGAGACUUUCAGUAAAAGCCUGACCACUAUUGUGGAGUUUGCUGGAAGAACCAAAAGAAGGAAUAUUUUUGGAGACGGGGAGAAAGCCAUCCUUAGGCAGUGACAGAAACUUAGCAACACUGCUCCCUAUACUAAUAUAGAAAGUGGAAAAUGUACCUGAUGAACUAUGUGAUGUAGCUAAAGAGAUUUCUAGGCAGAGUGUGGAAGAUACCAUCUGACUUCUUCUUCAUGUUUAGAGCAAAAUGAGAUAGCCUUCUUCAUGAUUCUUAAAGAACAUACAGUGUGUUAUGGGAAAUUUGUAGUUUGUAAAUACUACACAAUUUGCGCAUGUUUUAUUUUCUAAAAGUAAAUCACAAUUUUCCACCCAAGACAUAAUUCAUUAUAUUAACAUUAUGAAAAUACACUUUUAUGAAAAAUUAAACUAGUAAAACAACAAAGGGAAAGUAGGAACUUUUUUAACUGGGUUUGAUAAAGAACCUUUCAAGGUGAGCUCCAAGAACAAUCUGAUUAGAGAUAAUACUUUCAGUAUUACUUUCUGGGAGGGUUGAAUUACCCUAUUCUAUAGUGCUGAGAAUUAACUAGUAUGAGCCAGAGCAAGACAGAAAAAGUUUUCAAUAAUAUGGGUGUCAAGGCAUAGCUAUAUAGUUGCUUAGAUAAAAAUGAAAUAUAAGGUGUCAAAAUAGAGCACUAUUCUUAGAGAAACCAUAUUAAAAACUUAAUUUCAUGAGAAAGUACAUUUCUAUCUUGAAUAAUUAUUCUAACUUACUUUGAAAAAUUCUAAACAACAACAAAAACAUUCAGUCAAGACGAUUCAAUAAGCCCUCAGGAUGCCAACUUUAACUUGGCAGGGAUGCUAAGCUGGUCUGUGAAAACUGAACACAUUGGACCAAUUCACAUGGUGAAUGAUUUAGAGGUCCAUGCAAAAUAGUUUUUGAAUACUUUCUCAAUAACCUGCUGCUGCAGUCAAUUAUUAUUCACCUUUCAGGGUUUGAUAAAUAUUCUCUGCCUUAAAAAUCAUAAUUUUUUAUCUAACAAAAGCUAACAAAACAGUUGCAGAGUAAAUCCAGUUCAGAAUGCAACAAUUAUAGUUGGGACUUUUUAUUUAAUGAGUAUUUCUAAACUUUGCCUUCUUCACUUGUGGCCAAAUAAUUCAAAGUACUCUAACAUAGUUUAUAUGCAAGUGUGCAGGCACAAAAGUGCAAUUGGAAAAGAGAUCACAGGGGGAAAAAAACCCUAUAUCAGCAAUUUCCUUUAUUAUUUUUGUUUUUUUUAGGAAUAUUUGUCUUCUGAAAGAUAAUGUCAACUCCUGGCAGAAACUCAUCAAAAUGAUAAAAUCACCGGAGGAAAGAUUUUCAUUUCUUUCUCAGGAAUUGAGUUUCUCAUUCAGUUCAAAGGAGAGAAGAAUAUUCUUUUUACUCUGUACUUAUUUGAAGUGAGCUGUCAGGUGUUUCCUGGCUCAGAAGAGGUACUGCCUCCAUUUCCCAAGAAAACUUGGUAUAAUACUCACACUGAUCUCCCCAGUCCCUAACUAAAUACCUCAUUCUUUGGAAUUCUAGAUGCCAGAGGCACUAACAUGCAAUAAAGAUGAGCACAUUAGCCUGAAGUACAUGAAAUGUGCUAGAACAUAAUGUGCAUAGGGCUUGGGAGGUCAGGAAAACUGGCCAUAACUUGCUGUGUAGUUCCUUGAUACCUUUGAACCAAAGUUUCCUCAUGGAUAAAGUAAUACAGUGUAUUAAGUGAUGUUGGUCUCCUGCCCAAUCCUAUCAUUCAGAUACUAUAACUCUAUAUACAAUUAUAAAGUUGGUCUUACUGAAUAGCAUUAUUUGUAGUAAUUUCUUUCCUCAUGACAUAUGUCCCCCAAAGCUAAUGUUCAAUUUCUUUGAAAGCUAAACACUGUUUGAACAGCCACUGUAGUCUAAUGUCAGAGUAUGAAAGUAGUGGAAACUCAUGACCUUGGUAUUGUUGGAAAGGUCUCCAUCCUGUGUUACUUCACAUGUGAGAAGAGUUGUUCGACAUCCUUGUCACUAAAUCAUAAGCCACAAAACAUUUUCUAGAGUAAUUUCCAUGAAAGAUGAAAUUUGAUCUGUUACUGAACAUAUGUUCUCUCACCAGAUACCUUCCCCUGAUGAAUUGCUUCAAUCACAAGUCAUGUUAGAGUUGGCACAGCAAAUGCUCUCUGUUCUGUGUUCAGAGAGUCAUUGAUUUGAAUGAAAAUAUAAUUUGUGUUUUGUGUCAGGUGUUUUUUUGUUCUGAAGGGAAAUAGCAGAGAGCUUGGCUUCUGGCGUUUUGCUAAAACUAAACAUUUCACACAGUUCAGUGUGUUCACAGUGAAUACUUACACUAGAAUAAAGUAAGAUUUUAGUUUCAAAGAUUUUAAGCAGUAUGUUGUAAAGAGAGACAAAACUAUUGUGUAUGAAUAAAAGCAUUAUAAUGUUGAAAA